UGAUUUAUUCAUUUGUAGGCAGCCAUAAGGCUGAAAAUACACAAAAAUACCAUACAGUGAGUUUCAUGUGGUGAGUAAUGGGGGAAGUGGGGAAGGGAUGUGUGUGUGUGUGUGUGUGUGUGUGUGUGUGUGUGUGUGUGUGUGUGUGUUGGAGUGGAGGGGUCAUGUGAUCAUGGAGGUGUGUGUGUGUGUGUGUGUGUGUGUGUGUGUGUGUUAUCUUCAUCGUUCUUUUUUACAGCUAAUAUUUUUUCACUCGACUUUAUUACACCAACAGAACAGAUACUCUUCCUUCCCUUCGCCUCUCCUUGUCUUCUUUUUUUCUGUCCUCGUCUUUGUAUCUUUCUCUCUCAGAUGUCGCCGUUGACACCUGGCGGUGGCGUCCAAGCCAAGGCCGAGUUGUCUCCUUGGUGUGCGCGCUGUAUAGCAUCCUCUCAUUGUCCGUCUUUCUUUGUCCUAACCUCUCUCUCUCUCUCUCUCUCUCUCUCUCUCUCUCUCUCUCUCUCUCUCUCUGUUAUACAUUUUUAAGUGUUAUUUUUAAGGUGGUUCGUGUUAAGUGUUAAUUUAAGGCGCGAACUGUUAUCUCACUCGUCACAGGGCCGGUGUUACCGUUGUCCUGCUUCACAAGUUGAUUGUAGUAGGUGAGAUAACACAAUAGCCUUUAGUUAAGUGAGGUAGAUGAUGUGUGGCCGAGCGGAGCCGUUAUAAGUUUACUUUAGUUCACUUAGUACACUACCUCUCUGGGACAUUAAAAGGUGUGUGGUUUUUAGUAUAAAAAUGGUAUUGACAAUUUUACACAAUAGUUACAACGUUUAUGUGAGCGCUGAGCAUGGAGGUAGCGCUGAGCGGUCACACGAAACGAGAGCAAGCCACACCCAGAGCGCGGACGGAGGAACACCGCCCGCCACCCGCCACCCAGGAUGGAUGAUCGGCUUGUUGAAUAUAGUAAUUGUAACGACAGCGGUAUGAAUGUCAAAAAAAGAGAUGUUUAGAAACAGUGACAAAUCAGACUAAUAGGAGUACCCAGCUACGACUGUCAAUGUAUUUAUAUGAUUUUUUAUGUGAAUAUUCAUCCCUCUCCUUAUACUAUAUUAUAUUUAUUUCCUCUUUUUUAUGUCUAAUUUGAUGAUGUUUAUAAGAUAGUAAUGUUAGAAAACUUUUAUUUAUAACAGAAAAAUAUAUUUAACACGAAAAUAUGCAUUAAAACACAUAAAACAUUUUAGUUGGGGAGAGCGGGACACACUCCACCAUACUUGGAUGACUCAUAAUUUCAUAUGUCAGGCCUCCUCUAUAAUCGAGACAGCGCUGGCACAACUCGCUCUCCCUAUACCAUGGAGGUAUUAUAACAGGUUACAGGAGGCGCCUUCCCGCGCCGUCCCCAUACAGGCGAGUGAAGCCAGUGGGCGGAGCUUACCGAGUCUGUGGGCGGAGCUUACAAUCGGCAGAUAGACCCAAGACAUUGCGAUCUCCUGGCGGCGGAUGCUCAAACGGUCGUAUCUCAACAUUUGGUCCUAAAUCCGCCAUUGUGGUCGCAAGUGCUGCCCCGUGCGAUGUUCAAAAAACGUCCUAGACGCCAUCUUGUGACGUCAGGUCGCCCCUCAGCCUGACUGCUCGGGAGCGGGGCUAGAUCCGACCAGUUUCCGUCCUAGCCCGUCGCCAUUAAAGGAGUGUUUCCGCCUCAUCCACAUCUCCACCUCUGUACACAAUAUAAGGUACGUGUUUGCACUUCUACUUAGGUAUAGCUUUACAUUAAGGUGGCAAGAGUCACAGGAACGCCUUUUACGCAUGAUGUGUGGGUUAGUUGUGGAGAUUUAAGUGUAGCCGAUUUAGGCGGUGGCUUGGUUGGCAUACAUCAAUAUUUUUUAAUCUCAUGAAGCUCUUAUAGCCUCCAUACAUGUGUAUAGCUUUAUUUCAACGUGGCAAGGUUCACAGGAACGUCUUUCACGCAUGAUGUGUGCAUUAGUUGUGGAGAUUUAGGUGUAGCCAAUAAGGCUUUGGCUCGGGUGGCUUGGAUUAAUAUUUUUUAUCCCAUGCACCUGUAAUAGCCUUCAUACAUGUGUAUAGCCUUAUUUCAACGUGUCAGGGGUCACAUAAAGGUCGCUCAUGCAUGGUUUGUGCAUUAGUUGUGGAGAUUUAGGCGUAGCCAAUAAGGCUUUGGCUCAGGUGGAUUGGAUUAGUAUUUCUUAUCCCAUGAAGCUGUAAUAGCCUCCAUACAUGUGUAUAGCUUUAUUUCAACGUGGCAUGGGUCACAUAAAUGUCACUCAUGCAUGGUUUGUGCAUUAGUUGUGGAGAUUUAGGAGUAGCCAAGAAGGCUUUGGCUCGGGGAGCUGUACUCAUAUUUUUUAAACAUGUUUCUUUCUUUAUUAUUAUUGUUAUUUGCUUUACGUCCUCAAUUUAUUUUUAGAUAACAGCAUCAUAGAUAUUUCUUUUCCUUUUAAGGGCCAUUUAAUUAGCUUACCGUAACAUUUUAUUAGAAACGGUGUUGGAAAUGACCAAUCAAGGGCCAUUGAUAAAGUAACUCGGGUACUUUGUGAAAAGGCCAGUCAUGAGAUAAAGAUGUCAACCACAGCAGUAGAUAUUAAUAGAAUUUUUAAGAUAGUUUUCAUGCAUUUCAUAAUGAUAAAUAAUGCAUUAAUGAAUUUUCAACUUCACAGGAGACACUGCGUAUCCUCUGGAGCCAUUCCUGAUGACCCCAGUUGCACGGCCGACAACACCUGGGGAGGAGCGCUACAACAAGUCAUCACAGGACAAGAUGCGUUGUCGAACGGACCUUUGGGAUCCUCAAGUCAAGGUGCAGGUGCCUACAUAAGUCAGGAGGAAGUUUGCAGUAUGACCCCAAGAAGACUAUGAAGAUUGCGACCUCUUGUAUGCUCCUGCACAACUACUGAGUGGAUCGCUGCAGAAGAAGUAACAGUUCAGCCUGUGAGAAACAACAGACUGAUUCCUGGUCAAGUUGUCAGGCAGGAAUUUAUUAGAAACUUCUUUUCCUGAGUAUAGAUUGCAUAUGGUGCACCGGUGGCCGAGUGGUCAGCGUGUGUACGUGGUGAUCCAGAGGACUCGACUCCCACCGCAAGACGCUGAGAGUUUUCAACCAUUGACAAGUGGCGGAGGGUUACCAACAUGCUGCCCGGCAGAUCUUCAGUCAACCCUAACUUCAGCGUCUUUGAUCAAGAGGGGCACCACCUCCACACCACUCAUUCUUAUCACCUAGUUUGAUACCCUACUUGUCCAUCUCACAUGCCCCAUGUAUCUCAGCAUUCUGCACUCUUGGCUCCAUGUCAUCCUCUCCAACUUGUUGGUUCGUAUAGCAUAACCGGCCUCACAUACAUAGAAGUGUUCAAUAUACCUAGGCUAUAAUAUUAUAUUUAAGGACUCUUAUACGAGGUAUCGCCCCAGACAGAGGUGUCGAAGUAAGUCUGUCUGAUGGUAGGCUGGCUGACUGCUGUCGGGACCAAAGCCAGCAUGCCCUGGGGGUUGUGUGCGGGAGGAGGAAAGAGGGAAAAGGACAAAUGGUGUGUGUGUCAUUAUCAGGGGUAACCACGGUGGAGUGCAAACACUCAGUAGUUGUAGUCAAGGCUUAAUUAAGUUGAUGAGUGGUGUUAGACUGAAUGAGCAGGUUUUUUACCACAUGUUAGUGGGAACACUUGAUAGGUUUUGUUUGUGUGUUGGUGCUACUUGUUUCUUGUGUUUACAUGUUAGUUUAUAAUUAGACUGAGUUCUAAGUGUUAUGAGCGACAAUUUAGUCUUGUAUGGCUGAAUCCUGUCCCUUGACCCUUAAUUCAUCAUCAGAAUCUUUAAACAAAUAUAUUUACCUUAAGUAAUAUUCUUAAAGUCACGCUGCCCAUAUUAUUUGGCAGAUGAUAACCCUGUAUGCGAUAACGGUGCCUUAUAAGACUUCGUAAAUAAACUACUAAUUUUA